GUGGAGUGUCUUUUUACAAAGAUUGGAGAAACAUAAAAUGGAGAAAUUUGGAUCAAGAGCGUAUUUAUACCCAGCUAGUCAAAAACAACAAAACAAUAGUUCCAUCAAGCUGCUGCCAAUCUCAGGCUUUGUGCAAUAUUGUAGCUGUAAAGAUCGAAUACGAUGGAAGUUUUGUUGAUAUAUCUGAUUUUGAAACCGUCAAUGUGUUUCAAAAUGGAUGUUUAUCGUCAUUUAUUCAAAAUGCCACCGACAGAAUAGAAAUUGGUAUGGCAAUUACGUUUUCCAGCAUCACAAUUCAACUUGUUACAAUAAUUGUUCACCGCAUUAUGUUCUUGAAAAAUCGGGAAUACUUGUAAAAGCAGAAUAUACAACUAGUAGGCAGUUCAUGAGCAUGUGGAGAAUGGUGUUUAAUGAAUUCGUUUAAAACAAUUAUUUGUAUUUGUUGAACUUU